CGAAAUUCACCUAAUGGUAUAGUCUCCCUUCCUCAGGAUCCAACAGGUGUGAAACCUAAAACUCUUUUUUUCUUUUUAACUACAUGUACAAGUUAUUGUCUGAACAUGCUUAAGUGGGUCUAUAAAAUCUCCUGAAACCUUUACCUUGUCUUACCUUUUUGAAUUUCGAUAAUUGUAAACGUGGGCGGCAUUUCACAUUGUAUAAAGUGUAAAAGUACGUAGAUGAUGAAAAUUUUGGUUGUGGCAUCGAGAGGACAAAAGCGCCAACAAUGUGGAUCUUAUACAGAGUAUCAAGAUUCAGCAAUGAUGUUAUUACAAGCACCUUCGAUUUUCGUAUCUUUACAACGAUAAAGAGAGGUUAUUUUAAGAAUUCUCCAACAAAAGGAAAAAUCAUCAAGUUUAGUUUACGUGUGGUGCAUUACUAAUUCUAAUAAGGCGGAAAGCUUGAUACACUACCUUCAAGCCAAAAAAAAAAACUUUUUAGCUAACGAUGAUUAAAGAAAAUAUAUUAACUGGAAUCCCGAAGAAUUAUGAAGGUUUGGUAGGUAAGAUCUGGUCAAGAAAUAAAUGUAAGUUUAAUUGCAAGUGAUGAAUAUGAGUGCCUCAAGAUUUGAUCGAGUGGAUUUCAAUUGGCAUCAUUUAGUUGGUAACACGAAUUUGAUUGGUAAAGAGGGAAGGUAGCUAAAAAUUAAUUUGGUCACAUCCUUAUCUUUUAAGAACAUAAAAAUAAUAAUAAUAAUAAUUGAUAUGAGUGGCUUCUGAAAUAUCUCUUAGCGACAAAAUUUAAUUUUUUUUUUUUUAAUCUAAAACCUCAAGUUUAUAUAGCUCAAAUCACCCCUUUUACUUUUGAAAUCUUUAAUUUGUCUCCAUUUUUGUUAAGAAGAUUAAAAGAAAAAUGAUCAACCCAUCUCUU
rnacentral:lncRNA from 1 species